UACGUAGGUGGCAAGCGUUGUCCGGAUUUACUGGGCGUAAAGCGUAUGCAGGCGGACCUUUUAAGUAGGCAGUGAAAGGUUGGAGCUCAACUCUAACACGGCUAUCUAUACUGGGGGUCUUGAGUGGCGGAGAGGAAGAGGGAACGACACGUGUAGCGGUGAAAUGCGUUUGAGAUGUGUCGGAACACCAAUGGCGAAAGCACUCUUCUGGACGCAGGCUUCGGCCAUAAAACUGACGCUGAGAUACGAAAGCCAAGGGAGCAAACAGG
rnacentral:rRNA from 1 species